GUCAAAAAUUAGCCAAUUUUAUAAUCAGUAGACUGCCGUACGUUUGUGCAUUUAUGGGAUAUUUAAAAACGUGAAAAUUCAUAGAACGUACAUGGCACGUUGAGUGAUACGAGGAUCAUAGCGAAAAAAGUACGAUAAGCAAUUUAAAAAAAACUUUAUUAUCUUUGGAUCUAAGAAGUUCAAAGAGGCGUCGUUUCAAGGCGUACGUUUCUUUUAAUCGCGUCCGUAAAAAAAUAUGAAUUUCUAUGAUCUAAUAAUUGGAAUGUAAUUAAAAAGGUGAAAUUUAGAUAGAAAAUUAUAUUACCAACUAAACGUUA